CAAGAAGCCCGAAAGGCUGCUUAUAAACCAUCGCGAACCUAUCCAUCAGCGUUGCUUCGGCGGAGCGCUCGCGGCCUCCGCCUCACGGGCCGGGACCUAGCCCGCUUCCGGGAGGUAAGGGGCCGCCCGCCGGAGGUACGAAACUCUUCUUCAUCUUGUGGCAUCUCUGAGUAACAAGCAAAUAAGUUA
rnacentral:misc_RNA from 1 species